ANCGCGNCCUAUCAUGCAGUCGAGCGGGGUUAUGUAGAAGCUUGCUUCUACAUAACCUAGCGGCGGACGGGUGAGUAACACGUAGGCAACCUGCCCACAAGACAGGGAUAACUACCGGAAACGGUAGCUAAUACCCGAUACAUCCUUUUCCUGCAUGGGAGAAGGAGGAAAGACGGAGCAAUCUGUCACUUGUGGAUGGGCCUGCGGCGCAUUAGCUAGUUGGUGGGGUAAAGGCCUACCAAGGCGACGAUGCGUAGCCGACCUGAGAGGGUGAUCGGCCACACUGGGACUGAGACACGGCCCAGACUCCUACGGAAGGCAGCAGA
rnacentral:rRNA from 1 species